rnacentral:rRNA from 1 species
UACAGAGGGUGCAAGCGUUAAUCGGAAUUACUGGGCGUAAAGCGCGCGUAGGCGGCUAAUUUAGUCGGGUGUGAAAGCCCCGGGCUCAACCUGGGAAUUGCAUUCGAGACUGCGUGGCUAGGGUGCGGAAGAGGGAAGCGGAAUUUCCGGUGUAGCGGUGAAAUGCGUAGAUAUCGGAAGGAACACCAGUGGCGAAAGCGGCUUCCUGGUCCAGCACCGACGUCAGGCACGAAAGCGUGGGGAGCAAACAGG